GGUGCUGCAUGGCUGUCGUCAGCUCGUGUUGUGAAAUGUUGGGUUAAGUCCCGCAACGAGCGCAACCCUUAUCCUUUGUUGCCAGCGGUCCGGCCGGGAACUCAAAGGAGACUGCCAGUGAUAAACUGGAGGAAGGUGGGGAUGACGUCAAGUCAUCAUGGCCCUUACGACCAGGGCUACACACGUGCUACAAUGGCGCAUACAAAGAGAAGCGACCUCGCGAGAGCAAGCGGACCUCAUAAAGUGCGUCGUAGUCC
rnacentral:rRNA from 1 species